rnacentral:rRNA from 1 species
GACGAACGCUGGCGGCGUGCCUAAUACAUGCAAGUCGAACGCUUCUUUCCUCCCGAGUGCUUGCACUCAAUUGGAAAGAGGAGUGGCGGACGGGUGAGUAACACUUGGGUAACCUACCCAUCAGAGGGGGAUAACACUUGGAAACAGGUGCUAAUACCGCAUAACAGUUUAUGCCGCAUGGCAUAAGAGUGAAAGGCGCUUUCGGGCGUCGCUGAUGGAUGGACCAGCGGUGCAUUAGCUAGUUGGUGAGGUAACGGCUCACCAAGGCAACGAGGCAUAGCCGACCUGAGAGGGUGAUAGGCCACACUCGAACUCAGACACGGCCCAGACUCCUACGGGAGGCAGCAGUAGGGACUCUUCGGCAAUGGACGAAAGUAUGACCGAGAAGCGCCGCGUGAGUGACAAAGGUUUUCGGAUCGUAAAACUCUGUUGUUAGAGAAAAACAAGGACGUUAGUAACUGAACGGAACCUGACGGUACCUAAUAAGAGAGCCACGGCUAACUACGUG